AGUGAACGCUGGCGGUAGGCCUAACACAUGCAAGUCGAACGGCAGCACAGUAAGAGCUUGCUCUUACGGGUGGCGAGUGGCGGACGGGUGAGGAAUACAUCGGAAUCUACUUUUUCGUGGGGGAUAACGUAGGGAAACUUACGCUAAUACCGCAUACGACCUACGGGUGAAAGCAGGGGAUCUUCGGACCUUGCGCGAUUGAAUUAGCCGAUGUCGGAUUAGCUAGUUGGCGGGGUAAAGGCCCACCAAGGCGACGAUCCGUAGCUGGUCUGAGAGGAUGAUCAGCCACACUGGAACUGAGACACGGUCCAGACUCCUACGGGAGGCAGCAGUGGGGAAUAUUGGACAAUGGGCGCAAGCCUGAUACAGCCAUACCGCGUGGGUGAAGAAGGCCUUCGGGUUGUAAAGCCCUUUUGUUGGGAAAGAAAAGCAGCAGGUUAAUACCCCGCUGUUCUGACGGUACCCAAAGAAUAAGCACCGGCUAACUUCGUG
rnacentral:rRNA from 1 species